AUGUAAGGCAAUGUCUGUCUUUCAGUAGGAUUAAAUCACUACUAAAAUUUUGAUCCUAGAUAGUUUUGCCUUCAAGUCAAACAUCUUGU
rnacentral:pre_miRNA from 1 species